UACGUAGGAUGCAGGCGUUGUCCGGAAUUAUUGGGCGUAAAGAGCGCGCAGGCGGUAUGACAAGUCAGGUGUGAAAGAGGCCGGCUUAACCGGCAAGGGUCAUUUGAAACUGUCAGACUAGAGUGCAGCAGAGGAUAGUGGAAUUCCCGGUGUAGUGGUGAAAUGCGUAGAUAUCGGGAGGAACACCAGUGGCGAAGGCGACUAUCUGGGCUGCAACUGACGCUGAGGCGCGAAGGCUAGGGUAGCAAACAGG
rnacentral:rRNA from 1 species